CCUGCAUCCUGGUUGCAUACAUUUACAGGACUCGAAUCUUAGCAGCUACAUGUCAAAAAUGCCUGGUACCUACAGGAUAAUGUGCAUAUAUCUGCUCUAUGCAUAGGAAAGAUAUUAAUACAUAUUUUCAUCUGGAAAUUUGAUAGGCUUCAAAAAGAAUCUGGGAAUAUAGGACAAAAACAGAAUGAAUGGAAGAAGGGGAAAGAGGAGAGAGUUGAGAGGGUAACAUUUGCUGAGUUGCAGAACUGA
rnacentral:lncRNA from 1 species